GGGGAUGUGGCUCAAACGGUAGUGCGCUCGUCUAGUAUGCGUGUGGCCUGGGUUCGAUCCUCAGCACCA
rnacentral:tRNA from 1 species